UAACGAAGGGGGCGAGCGUUGUUCGGAUUUACUGGGCGUAAAGGGGCGCGUAGGCGGCGCGAGAAGUCGAGUGUGAAAAUCCCCGGGCUCAACCCGGGAACUGCGUCCGAUACUGGCAGGCUUGAAUUCGGGAGAGGGAUGCGGAAUUCCAGGUGUAGCGGUGAAAUGCGUAGAUAUCUGGAGGAACACCGGUGGCGAAGGCGGCAUCCUGGACCGAAAGUUGACGCUGAGGCGGCGAAAGCCAGGGGAGCAAACGGGG
rnacentral:rRNA from 1 species